CUCUUCCACAUACAAACCCUUCAUCGAUAUGUUCAAUCUCCUUCGUUAACUUCCUAGGGGUAGUCGAAAAUAAAGAAAUAUAAGAGUUUGGAUCUUUGUGUUCUCCAUUUCUUCCGGAUGCUUCCACAACAUGAACAACAUUUACGGCUCUG